UCAAAAAAUAGCGUCCCAGUUCGGAUUGUAGUCUGCAACCCGGCUACAUGAAGCUGGAAUCGCUAGUAAUCGCAGAUCAGAAUGCUGCGGUGAAUACGUUCCCGGGUCUUGUACACACCGCCCGUCACACCAUGGGAGUCGGAAAUGCCCGAAGUCGGUGACCCAACCGUUUACGGAGGGAGCUGCCGAAGGCAGGUCUGGUGACUGGGGUGAAGUCGUAACAAGGUAAC
rnacentral:rRNA from 1 species